GACGAACGCUGGCGGCGUGCUUAACACAUGCAAGUCGAGCGGGAUCCAACCGGUGGCAACACCGGGGAAGAUCUAGCGGCGAACGGGUGAGUAACACGUGAGCAACCUGCCCCGAAGACUGGGAUAACACCGGGAAACCGGUGCUAAUACCGGAUGUCGUCAUUAGGCCGCAUGACCUGAUGAUGAAAGGAUUCAUCGCUUCGGGAGGGGCUCGCGGGCUAUCAGCUUGNGGUGGGGUAACGGCCUACCAAGGCGACGACGGCUAGCUGGUCUGAGAGGACGACCAGCCACACUGGGACUGAGACACGGCCCAGACUCCUACGGGAGGCAGCAGUGGGGAAUAUUGGACAAUGGGCGAAAGCCUGAUCCAGCAAUGCCGCGUG
rnacentral:rRNA from 1 species